UCUAGAACUCGAGAUACGGAUUGAACACCGAACAAUGUCUGGGCUGCAUGACAGAUUCAGACUUCUCUUUUGUUGCUAAGAUUUGAAUUUACAAAUGAUAAUUUUGAAUCUUAAACUCUUAAUGAAUGUUUUAGGCCUAUCCCUUAACUUUUCAUC
rfam:Populus trichocarpa scaffold_7_contig_158, whole genome shotgun sequence.